CUGGCGUCUGUGUGCAAUUCGAUUGGAUAAUAAGGGUCAAAAAUAACAAGGACUGGUUUGUCGUUAAGAAAUAUAACGGUUUCAUUAAUUGUGAAAAUCCCUUAAUAAACUGUCGGAAAUAGGAUGCUAGCCCAAUGAAUUGUCUAAGUGAAGUGACUGACCGUGGAGGCGGAAGAGCAGUCAACGCUACAACUUUCUGUGGGUUUGGACGAAUCUCACCCGCACUUAUAUUGUAACCCAAAUAUUGAACCGAUGUUUUCAUGAAUGAGCACUUUGUAAGAUUGAAUGAAAACCCAGCCUUUGUCAAAACAUCUAGAACGAUCUGUAAUCUUUCUUGCGCCUCGCAUUUUGUUGAGGCGGCUAUCAUGAUAUCAUCCAUAUAGACGAUGACAAAGGAAUUUGCUAGAUCCCCUAGCGCCUGUAUUACUAAUCGUUGA